GUUUAAACCCGAUUGCAGCGAUAUCCGCCAGUUUUUCACUGGCGAUUUAGCGUAAAGCGGGACUGUAU
rnacentral:sRNA from 1 species